UACGAAGGGUGCGAGCGUUGUUCGGAAUUACUGGGCGUAAAGGGUGUGUAGGCGGAUUAUUAAGAUAGCGGUGAAAUGCCUGGGCUUAACCGAGGAAUUGCCGUUAUGACUAAUGAUCUAGAGUGACAGAGAGGAUACUGGAAUACCCAGUGUAGAGGUGAAAUUCGUAGAUAUUGGGUAGAACACCGGUGGCGAAGGCGAGUAUCUGGCUGUAGACUGACGCUGAGGCACGAAAGCAUGGGGAUCAAAC
rnacentral:rRNA from 1 species